AGUGAACGCUGGCGGUAGGCCUAACACAUGCAAGUCGAACGGCAGCACAGUAAGAGCUUGCUCUUACGGGUUGCGAGUGGCGGACGGGUGAGGAAUACAUCGGAAUCUACUUUUUCGUGGGGGAUAACGUAGGGAAACUUACGCUAAUACCGCAUACGACCUACGGGUGAAAGCAGUGGAUCUUCGGACCUUGCGCGAUUGAAUGAGCCGAUGUCGGAUUAGCUAGUUGGCGGGGUAAAGGCCCACCAAGGCGACGAUCCGUAGCUGGUCUGAGAGGCUGAUCAGCCACCCUGGAACUGAGACACGGUCCAGACUCCUACGGGAGGCAGCAGUGGGGAAUAUUGGACAAUGGGCGCAAGUCUGACACAGCCAUACCGCGUGGGUGAAGAAGGCCUUCGGGUUGUAAAGCCCUUUUGUUGGGAAAGAAAAGCAGCAGGUUAAUACCACGCUGUUCUGACGGUAACCAAAGAAUAAGCACCGGCUAACUUCGUG
rnacentral:rRNA from 1 species